rnacentral:rRNA from 1 species
AUUGAACGCUGGCGGCAUGCCUUACACAUGCAAAUCGAACGGUAACGGGCCUUCGGGUGCCGACGAGUGGCGCACGGGUGAGUAAUACAUCGGAACGUGCCCGAUCGUGGGGGAUAACGAGGCGAAAGCUUUGCUAAUACCGCAUACGAUCUACGGAUGAAAGCAGGGGACCGCAAGGCCUUGCGCGGACGGAGCGGCCGAUGGCAGAUUGGGUAGUUGGUGGGAUAAAAGCUUACCAAGCCGACGAUCUGUAGCUGGUCUGAGAGGAUGAUCAGCCACACUGGGACUGAGACACGGCCCAGACUCCUACGGGAGGCAGCAGUGGGGAAUUUUGGACAAUGGGCGCAAGCCUGAUCCAGCCAUGCCGCGUGCAGGAUGAAGGCCUUCGGGUUGUAAACUGAUUUUGUACGGAACGAAAAGCCUUCUUUUAAUACAGGAGGGUCAUGACGGUACCGUAAGAAUAAGCACCGGCUAACUACGUG